UACAGAGGGUGCGAGCGUUGUUCGGAAUUAUUGGGCGUAAAGGGCGCGUAGGCGGUGCGGUAAGUCACCUGUGAAAUCUCCUGGCUCAACUGGGAGCUUGCAGGCGAAACUGCCGUGCUGGAGUGUGGGAGAGGUGCGUGGAAUUCCUGGUGUAGCGGUGAAAUGCGUAGAUAUCAGGAGGAACACCGGUGGUGCAGACGGCUCUCUGGACCGCAACUGACGCUGAGGCGCGAAAGCUAGGGGAGCAAACAGG
rnacentral:rRNA from 1 species